UACGGGGGGGGCAAGCGUUGUUCGGAAUUCCUGGGCGUAAAGGGUCUGUAGGUGGCCAACUAAGUCAGACGUGAAAUCCCUCAGCUUAACUGGGGAACUGCGUCUGAUACUGGUUGGCUUGAGUGCAGGAGAGGAAUGCGGAAUUCCAGGUGUAGCGGUGAAAUGCGUAGAUAUCUGGAGGAACACCGGUGGCGAAGGCGGCAUUCUGGACUGCAACUGACACUGAAAGACGAAAGCCAGGGGAGCAAACGGG
rnacentral:rRNA from 1 species